GAUGAACGCUGGCGGCGUGCCUAAUACAUGCAAGUCGAGCGAACGGACGAGAAGCUUGCUUCUCUGAUGUUAGCGGCGGACGGGUGAGUAACACGUGGAUAACCUACCUAUAAGACUGGUAUCACUUCGGGAAACCGUAGCUAAUACCGGAUAAUAUUUUGAACCGCAUGGUUCAAAAGUGAAAGACGGUCUUGCUGUCACUUCUAGAUGCAUCUGCGCUGCAUUAGCUAGUUGUGAAGUUAACGGCUUACCAAGGCAACGAGGCAUAGCCGACCUGAGAGGCGGAUCGGCCGCACUGGAACUGGGACACGGUCCAGGGGCCUACGGGAGGCACCAGUAGCGAAUCUUCCGCAGUGGUCGAAAGCCUGACGGAGCAACGCCGCGUGAGAGAUGAAGGUCUUCGGAUCGUAAUACUCGGUUAUGAGUGAAGAACAUAUGUGUAAGUAACUGUGGACAUCUUGACGGUACCUAAUCAGAAAGCCACGGCUAACUACGUG
rnacentral:rRNA from 1 species